CAGAGUUUGAAGAAGAAGAAGAAUAGCCCAUCCCUUUCGGCCAGCAAUUAUAUAAGGUCAUUUUAUACUCGACAAAAUUAGUUUGCAGAAUACUCCAGUGAAAGAGCGAAUUCACAUUUUGUCACUAACUACAUUAUUCCAGGCUUGUUUUAACUAGUGUAAAGCAUCAGAGAUUUAACAAACACGAAGCGACACGUAUCAGCGACUUGACUAUAAGUUUUGGCAACUCUUCAAUUGGAACAAGAUCUCCUGGGAGAUGCUUGCAAACAAAUCGUCAGAUACCCCAGCUGGAUAUUCUUUAUACGAUUCUUUGUUCAGAUUGUUGGGAAUUUUGUAUUUUGUGGUGGAAAAAAAGAUCCACCAGUAAAGUGUAUAGUUGCUUUCAAUUUCUAUAAGUUUUGAAAUUUUGAUUGAAGGCCCACAUUGAUAUUCAUCCAUUGAGGUAGAAUAAGUAUAGGCUAAUAAUAUGUUGUUCUAGGGCGUGUAUAGCUAUUCAACUCGAAAAGAAAUGCUCUACUAUUUACUCUGCA